rnacentral:lncRNA from 1 species
UGAGAAGAACAUAGACAAAGGACCAACACUUUCCUGUUUUAUGGAAUUACUCCCAUUCUUACAUAUAUAUUUGAAAUAUUUCCUAUUUAUAUUUAUAAUUGAUAACUUUAUGGAUAUUUAAGGAAAGGAAGACGAACAGAAGAAUGAAAUGGAGAUGACUGAUGUUCAAACAAGAACAGCAGUAUGGUCCAUGUCUUGGGAAGUUUUAGCCUAAUAUAGCAUAAAAAUGUGCAGCAACAAUGCUUUUCAGCCUCUACUUACUAGUCUUUCCAGGGCAUGGGUGUGAAUCCCCCUUCUUAAACUCCAGAUCAGUUACGCUGACAUUCAGUGUGGUAU